ACGAUGCUAUACGCACAAUAAUGAUAAUAUAUUCGUUGGGAGUUAUGACCGUGAACACGGUUCACCUUCUCCCCGGUCUACUCGGUCGGCUGGCAGUAGUCAGUACACAGUCGGUCUCUGCGGUGUAUGGCCGCGGCCAGCCGAAAUCCGGCUCUGGAGAGCUGUUCAGCCGCCAUUUUGUUUGCCGUUCACGACACAGCGCACCGAGUCGCAUCAGUAAAACAAAAUUGGUAUGCCUCCAAAUUUAAUAAAAAAAACCUCAAGUAAUGCAUUCAAGUACAUAACUUUAAAUAAAAGUAAUACGAGUAACCCCGUUCUAAAAAAUCAAUGUGGACCUAGAACGAUCAGAUUACCAAAAAUGUCACCAGUGCCUGAACCACCUAAAAGGCUUAGGGAUCACAAAAUAAUCUUUCCACGGUAUAUAGAUGAUUCGUGUGUAUGUAAACCAAAAAUAAACACGCCUACGUUGAAACAGAAAAUUGUAACUGCAUCUUCUUAUAUAGUCAGUUCGAUGGUAAUAUACUGUGGUCUAAAGGUAUUGGCCAAAACUGGCGUGUGGGGCUCUCAAGAUGAAACUCGGCCAAUUUUAGACGGACUAUAUGAUGCAUUAGGGCCAAUAUUUUGUUCAAAAAAAGAAGUCAAGACGAGAAAAUUAACAGAUCGGUGGAAUGAUUUUUUAUGGAAAAUUGGAUCGUUUAUUUGUGGGAAUGUCAGAACCGAACCUACUAAAAUUCAAGUUACAGACGAUGUAUCUAAACUGUCCAGUCACGAAGGUUUACCAACGAUACCAUACAAACCUGAAAUAUAGUCAACGCAAAAAAUCUAUUUGAAAUAAAUAAUAGUUUAUUAAAUAAAAUAUAUAUUGCCUAUUUGUUUAAAUUAAUAAAUAAAAAGUACGUUUAAUAAGUGAAACAGCAAUACAGUAUACUUACGAUACUGUUAAGACCCUAUAGCCCUGUACUUAGGUAUUGUAGGCUGAAUGAGUUUGUCACAAUCGUGGUUGAUAUAAUUGAUAGGUUUUUAGGUAUUAUAGUGAGCCCGGAAAGGCGUUUACAUACAAUAAGUAAAUGAGGACAAACGAAGACUUUAUAAUAAAAACAUCUUUAGAAAUAUAUUGAAACUGUUUUAAUAAGCACUUGUGAAAUAAUAAUAAGAUACGUAAUGACUGACUGGCUGACGACUGACAAUUGUACAGGAGAAUAGAUAAGUUUAUAUAGUAAUAUGUAAAUUAGUAGAUUGUAUCAAACAACAUAAAAAUAGGUUUAGAACAAGGAGGACAAGUAUUAACAAAGUUAACUACGCAGUUUCCAAAUAGCCAGUCAAGGUCAACACAUUUUUUAUGGUCUAGAAUGAGUGAAGCUGUUUACUUUUACGGAAGCUGAAGAAGUAGUUAAACUACAAAUAACGAAUCCAAAUUCUAUUUUUAUUUUUGAUGAUGUGUUGUGUGAUACUCAAAUACCCAUUCAAGAUUAUUUUAGUAUGGGGAGACAUUUUGGUGCUAAUUCAAUUUUCUUUUUUUAGUACAAAGUUAUUCUAAAGUUUUAAAACGAUUGGUACGCGAUAACUGUAAUUUAUUAGUGGUGUUCAAACAAGACGAACGCAAUU